CCACAUUUAGCUCAGCUGGUAGAGCAGGAGACUCUUCCACUGUAAGAGCUGUUCGACAGUGGAAUUUUCUGCCAAGGAGUGUGGUGGAGUCUCCUUCUUUGGAGGUCUUUAAGCAGAGGCUUGACAACCAUAUGUCAGGAGUGCUCUGAUGGUGUUUCCUGCUUGGCAGGGGGUUGGACUCGAUGGCCCUUGUGGUCUCUUCCAACUCUAUGAUUCUAUGAUUCUAUGAUUCUUAGUCUUGGGGUCGUGGGUUCGAGCCCCACGGGUUGGA